rnacentral:rRNA from 1 species
GACGAACGCUGGCGGCGUGCUUAACACAUGCAAGUCGAGCGGCGCGGCUAACGGGUGAGUAACGCGUGAGUAACUGCCCCCCUCUCUGGGAUCACAGUUGGAAACGGCUGCUAAUACCGGAUAGUGGGGGAUGACUCGCGUCCUAUAGGUUUGUUGGUGGGGGAGUGGUCGACGAAGGCGACGACGGGUAGCCGGCCUGGGAGGGCGACCGGCCACAUGGGGCUGAGAUAGGGCCCAAAAGCCUACGGGAGGCAGCAGGGGGAAAUAUGGCACAAUGGGGGAAACCCAGAUGCAGCAACGCCGCGUGCGGAAUGACGGCCGUCGGGUUGUAAACAGCUUUCAGCCAUGACGCGGUAGUGGCAGAAGAAGCACCGGCUAACUACGUGCCAGCAGCCGCGGUAAUAC